GAUUGUUAUUUGUUGCUAGAAAUUGAAUCUGUGGGGUUCUUUGUCUGUUCUUCCCUAUAGUUUCCAAGCCUGUUGGUUGAAUUCAUUCAGGUUAUGCUGAUGGAUAAAUCUGCUGGAAUAGUCAAACUUGUAGGUAUUUUCAUAGAAAUGUACCACCAGGUAGAAGAGGAAGAGUAAGUUCAGUGCCUGAACUGGGAAUCCUCUGCUUGUUUAAGUAACAGAAAAUCCAUGUGGGAAGGAACACCUAUGAAUGCCCCAACUAAAGUGGGGGGUGGGAACAUUGUGUGUAACUCAGUUACUAAAUCUUAGCAAACUGUAGUAUAAAUAGGUGGUUUGUGAUCCUAUAAUAACCUUGAUUUAGGCCUCAGGUCUUCAGCAUGUGUCAUCCAAGUCUCAUGGGCUCUUAGUGAAGCUGCUUGUGACUUUGAAAUGGUUUGCCAUGAAGCCCACUGUUUCAGGCUCAGUGGAAGCAUGUCUGUUCCUACAUAAGCACACUUGCCAGCUGGUCCCAGUUUCAUACAGGAAAUGCAAGAUGAGUGUCCUCUUUCAGUACUGGUGAUCACUGCUUUCUUGACACUGGCUUCACAUUCUGUGUUGCUCUCUCUAUAAGGAUAUACACUCUUGGUGAUAUUUCCUUCUAUUUUGCCAAGUCAAUCAGCUGUGAAGCUCAUCUUGCAUUUAUUAUGAAAGAAAAAAAAAGGAAGAAAUUAUUUCCUGAGUCCACAUGUGUCGUGAAGGGAUUCGUUUGGGUUUUGGGGGAAUGAAAUAUGAGGCUGAAUU